GAUGAAGAACGCAGCGAAAUGCGAUAAGUAAUGUGAAUUGCAGAAUUCAGUGAAUCAUCGAAUCUUUGAACGCACCUUGCGCCCUUUGGCUAUUCCGAAGGGCAUGCCUGUUUGAGUAUCAUGAACACCUCAACUCUCAUGGUUUGCCAUGAUGAGCUUGGACUUUGGGGGUCUUGCCGGCCUAUGGGUCGGCUCCUCUCAAAUUAAUCAGCUUGCCAGUGUUUGGUGGCAUCACAGGUGUGAUAACUAUCUACGCUUGUGGUUUUCCAUCAGGUAACCUUCAGUGAUGGAGGUUCGCUGGGGCUCAUAAAUGUCUCUCCUCAGUGAGGACAGCUUUUUUGAACGUUUGAUCUCAAAUCAGGUAGGACUAACCGCUGAACUUAAGCAUAUCAAUAAGCGGAGGA
rnacentral:misc_RNA from 1 species